ensembl:lncRNA
CAACAGCCUUCUACUCACGUUAAUGUUGUGAUUAAAUAUCAUAACGAAAUGUGCUCACAUAUUACAUAGAAGAGUUCUUGCUGGUAAACAUGACCCAAAUAUUUGUAAGAAAAUAUUUAGUGUUUUUACACCCAUUAUGUUUUCAGACAUCAGGAGAAAAAUGCAGCACAGUUUUUUUCCUCUUGCAAAGGCACUAGCAUUGAAGCUUAAACCCAGAGUAGUUGAAAUAGAAUUUAGGUUUACAAGAUGAAAAUGGCAAGAAAUGUCAGAUGGCUAUGGAAAUAUGUGUCUCUGAAAAGCAGAAACCUCAAGGAAAGAGAGAAUUGGCACCCUCUCUCCAUCUGCUUAGUGAAAGAGCUGCAGCUUAAAUUGUCUCAAGUAGCAGGUUCAGUCACUAUUGUCGCAAAUGGUGUUAAUUGUUGAAAUAGUAUGGAUGCUGUCUGCAAGUAGUGUCAACAUAUAUCUGGGCUUAUUUUGAUACCUGUAUUUAUAAUAAGAAAUAUGUGGGGGAAAGGGUCAAUGAGCUUCUGUUAAAAGCUGUACCUGUAGGUUACAUGUAACACACAUGGUAAACAUUUGUUUAUAGUCUUUGUUUAAUAAAAUAGAUGUUUAAACGAAAUCAACGAAAAGGAAAUAGAGGCAUGGAUAUGUGAUUCUGAGAUUGAGGUGAGUCUUAAAGAAGUAAAUAUAAUAUGUAACAUGAGAAAAGAUAGCAUACUUCAAGUUCUGAAAAAACAGCAUACGUGGAGGACAGAGGUAAUGAGUAUAAAUUCUGUCUUAUCCCAGAGGACAUAAGCAGGGCUUAGGAUUUACGGAGAGAUAAAACUUGGCCCUCCAGAAGGGACGAGCUUCCCAAGUACUUGACAUAUCCAGCAUAGAAACGAGCUGCUUCAGGUUAAUGAGCCCGCAAUGGCGACAGUGUGCACGCAGGUAUUGGAUUACUGUCUGUUGAGGGUGGCUAGAAGGAACUGACUUGUGUGACAGACUGAGCUAGAUCAGUGACUCUCAGUGUCUUUUUAAAGAGUGGAACUCCCCCCCCCCCAUCAUCUCUUACAUAAAAGCAUAAAAUUUUUAAAAUAUGCAACAGACAGAUUCCCGUCAUGGCUCAAUGGUUAACGAAUCCAACUAGGAAGCAUGAGCUUGCGGGUUCUUUCCCUGGCCUCGCUCAAUGGGUUAAGGAUCCGGUGUUGCUGUGAGCUGUGGUGUAGGUUGCAGACUGGCUCAGAUCCUGCAUUGCUGUGGGCUCUGGCGUAAGCUGGCGUCUACAGCUCCGAUGAGACCCCUAGCCUGGGAACCUCCAUAUGCCAUGGGAGCGGCCCGGAAAGGGCAAAAAGACAAAAAUAAAUAAAUAAAAUAAAAUAAAAUAUGCAACAGAAAAGGGCUGCUUUUUUUCGGUCUCCUCAACUCCCACCUAACUGCCCCUUGGCACCUCCUCUGAAUUCCAUGAUAUCUAAGGAUGGUUCCUUUUACUUCCAGGAUUCCAUGAUUAGUCUGAAUGUAAAUUGUUCUUGUUUGAAAUGGUUCAUUAGCGAUGUUUCUUUUCUUUUUGCUUUAAUUCCUAAAACAUAUGGAUUUUUACAAAUUAGGUUCAGAAAUGUUUAGCCUGACGUUUAGUUUGGACUUGUCUGCAUACACAUGUUGACCAGUCAGGAUACAGAAAUGAGGAUAUUUUUUCCAAAGGAAGAGUUUUUGAGAUCUAGUGAUGUAUGUUUUAGAUUCAAACUACUUGAACUCAGAUUGUAUGACAAUGAGGAAGUACAGCGUUAAGUAACCAGGUCCAGUAACUUUGAUCAGCUUGUAUUUGGUGUGUUGUGGAAUUAUGUGUUUCUUUCAACUCUGUCUGGCCACAGAGGAUCUUUUGAAGCUCACGUGCAGGCAGUUAAUCUUGACUAGGUUCAUUGAUUUAUAACAGGGAGAAAAAUGCUCUUGUGAAUCCAAAUAACUUAAACUUGAAAAAGUUUCAGUCAAGUGACUUUGUCCAUAAGCCACUAAUAAAAUUAAAAAGAUGUCAAACAGAGAACUGAUAUCUUGCAGGGGUCAGUGCUCUGCAGGUGCAAAAACUUGAGUUAACCAGUUAAUCAGUUUGGGAGAUUCAACAUGCUAAUUAACCUAGAAAAAAUGGACGCAUCAAGCAGAUAAGGAUUUAUUAAUCAGAAUGAAGGAAAAGGUGGUGUGUCUGAUUUGAAAGUCUGAUUUGAAAAAAGAGACUUCUUUUUUCGUCAGUCUGUCUGGAGUGUAUAUACCCUUAGCAGGCCAAGUUGUAGUCAAUUUACAGAAGAAAGAAACAUUAACACAGAUUUUCAUUGCUGCUUUAGUAUGGCGUCGAGGACUGGAAGGCAUUCUGGGUGUGCAUCCCUUGAAGAAGAUACAGAUAAAACGUGGUGGGUAUGUUGGCCUUGGAAGAUUAUAGGUAAUCUGUUAGGAGCAACAUGCUAGCUGCAGCAUAGCGACAUGGAUGCAUUGUAAAGACAUGGGAGUUAACACAUGGUUGCCUGUGGAAGAAAUGCAGGAAGAUUCGGAGCUGAGGGUUGGGAAUAAACGUGAAUAAAGACAACAAUCAAACGAUUAGUUGUGCAGUGUAAAACUAGUGGUAUGUGGGGGAAAGUCCACUGUAAAAUUUUGGAAUGAAGAAGAAAUUGAUUGAAUCUGUGAGGGUGGUAGAAGACUUCUCAGAGAAGGAAAUACUUGCACUGGCUCUUCAGGCAUAGAACAAUAUAGACAAUUUGGAGAACUGUCACUCAUUCACUGUAACUGUAGCCUACAAUAUGCCUUGCAAAGUAGCAGGAGAUGAUGUGAGUGCUACAUGCAGGGGGCAGAUCCCAGGUGGUCUGGUACUCCAUGUAAGCAACUUGUAUUUGAUCCCAGAGGAAAUGGAACUCAUGGAUCUUUAAAGCAGAGAAAAGAUAAGAAUGGAUUGUAUAAUAUAUAGACUACUCAAGAGGCAGGAUAUGGACUAGAUUUGAAGAGACGGAACAGAGAGAAAAAGAGAGAGAUCAGUUGGAAUAUUUGAAGCAACCUAUAGGACAAGUGUCUGAAUUAGGGAAGUAACAAUGAGGGUGGAUGUUGGGAGAAGAGAGGUAAGGUAUAAAGGGGUGAAAUUGAUAACACGUUGUGCUCGAUUAGAUAUUAUGAAGUGAGAAAAAACAUUUAGAUUAGCCUCCAAGUUUCUGGCUUGGAUGACUGGAUGAAAAGUCAUGUUAUGAAACAAUAGAACUUAGGAGGGAGUUUAGGAGGAGCAGACUUAGUUCGAUUUAGUGCACACUGAGUUUGAAGCAUUUGUGGAGCCAUUCAAGCAGCAAUAUUUAGUGGGUAGUUGGAUCUGUUAUCAGGAAAGUGCUCUGAGCUAGAGACACAAAUGUGGGACUUAAAGUAGUGGAAGAGCUGCUGCCUCUGUUAAAAACUCAGGGGAAAUAUGUAGAAGAAAGAGAAAAAAGACCAAACACUCUGGAGAAUACGAAGGAAUGGGUAGAGGAAAGAAGGAGUAAAAGCAAGUAUUUAGGGUAUAAUAGAAGAAUGAGAGUAAGGGAAGAAAUCUGCAGAAUAGAAAGGAAACUAGAGAAGGUAACAGGUUGGAAGUCUAGGGAAUUGGCUCCUUGACGAAUGAGGAGGAAAGGCUUUCCUUCAGUCUGCACAUCUUAUCAAGCCCUGCUGACGACAUCGCUGACACAUCUCCACAGUUCCCCAGUGCUGUCACUGUCACCCACGCUCUCUACUGUGAUGGCCUCUCAACUGUUCUCUCGCCUCCACUGUAAUCUUACAUUUUAGCCAGAGUACUUUAUUCAAGACAUCACUUAUGUCACUUCUCUGCUGGUAAACCUUCAAUCACUUCCCCUUAUAAAGAGGGAAAAAAAAAAAAAUCUGUACUUUAUCAUGGACUACAAGCCACAGCAAAAGCUGCCCCCUGCUGGUCGCUCCAACCCGUCUCAUGUCAUUUCCUCCCUUGGCCUCCAUUGGUCUGCAUUCUGUGCCUAAGAGGCACCACAUCCACCUCCCUUUUCUUUCCUCGGAUGUUAGUAUGGCUUCUCCAUUCUUGUCCUUAAUGACUUGACUCAAAUGCCAUGGGCCCAGAAGUACUCUUUCCUGACCCCUCUGUCCCUCCUGACUCUGUCUUAAGUGCCAGAAGUAAAGAGUCCCACGAAUGUCCCCUAAGUCCCACGAGUGUCCCCUAAAUGUCCCGUAAGUGUCAGACAUGAGGUGUCGCCUUUACCACAGGCUUCAUCUCCUCAGACACAUCUGCAUAAUCACCCCCUUAAAACAGGUUCUGCAGCAUAUUCUUCCCCAGCAAAAGUUCCCCUCAUCUCCCUUUUCCAGUCAGUCCCCUCCCUCAGUACCUGCCAGCAGAGGCGGCUACUUUUUGAUUUCUGUUUCCAGCCUUUGUGCUUCCCCAAGCCCCAUCAGAUGCCUUCUUGGGAAAGUGGUGGGAAGUCUGGGACUUGACUGCAUUUCGACCCUUCAGUGUAGUCUCUGUGACUAUAAAAAUUCGACUGGUUUUAUCUUUUCUGUAGUAAAUUACCUCUCCCUCUCCAGGCACUCAAGAUGGGCAAAUGCCAGCGACACAGAAAAUAGCCAGCCUUUGUCCGCUAGCCCCAGAGAGGACAUUUUUUCCUCUGGACAUUUAAAUAUGGUUUUGCCAUUUUUGCUUCUAUAGUUACUUGAUGUCUUCAAAAACAUUUUAAAUUAUUCUUCUAUUUUUUCCCCUAAUCAUUAACAAUAAAACCAUUGGGCUGCUAUAUCCUGCCAUAUACUACUUGAAGGUGGACGUCUGUUUUGUUUCUAAAAACUAUUUUUAAAAGAUUUGCUGUCAUUUAUGCUGUGGUGCAGUGGGUUAAGAAUCC